GAAUAUAUACUGCUCAGUGGAAGACUAGUCUCUUACCUGUAAGCUUCUCAUCUAGUUUUCUGUGAAUCUGAUAUGAUGGCUUAUACUCAUGUGUUGCUCUAUUUCAGCAUCUUUUUCCUCAUUGAUGGAGGCUUAUCAAGAUGUCUUCCAGAUCAGUCUAACCAGAGUGGACAAAGCAAUAUGACCUAUCUUUCUUCACCUGUUGAGCCUCUGAAUACCAGUCAUACCUCUACCCUUUGCUCAGAAGCUGAGAAGGACCAUGAAAAUGGGCCUAAAGUCUCUCUUGCUCUCCUGGUGGUUAAUAGCAUGAAGAGUGCUGCUCUCCUCUUUUUCACUUCUGAAAAAGAACACACUACUACUCCUCCUUCUGUGCCAGAGAGAAUGACCAGCUGGACUGAUGGCUCUACCCCUGUUCCUUCUGGGGAACAGACCACUAACCAGACUAAUUCAUCUUUGUUCAACUUUUGAACAAAGGCCCAGAUUCUACCACAUCCUUUCAACCUGAUGUUGUGGUGACUAGUGGCUUGGAUAAGUGUUUGUUUUUUCAGCCUCGUUAAAACCUGGCCCUUUGGGGACUGGAGGCUGUAGCAUCUAGGCCUUGUGACUUAACAUAUCUGUACUGGUGAUGCUCAAGUGACCCCAGAAAUAAAUGCUUUGACU